AGUGAACGCUGGCGGUAGGCCUAACACAUGCAAGUCGAACGGCAGCACAGUAAGAGCUUGCUCUUACGGGUGGCGAGUGACGGACGGGUGAGGAAUACAUCGGAAUCUACUUUUUCGUGGGGGAUAACGUAGGGAAACUUACGCUACUACCGCAUACGACCUACGGGUGAAAGCAGGGGAUCUUCGGACCUUGCGCGAUUGAAUGAGCCGAUGUCGGAUUAGCUAGUUGGCAGGGUAAAGGCCCACCAAGGCGACGAUCCGUAGCUGGUCUGAGAGGAUGAUCGGCCACACUGGAACUGAGACACGGUCCAGACUCCUACGGGAGGCAGCAGUGGGGAAUAUUGGACAAUGGGCGCAAGCCUGAUCCAGCCAUACCGCGUGGGUGAAGAAGGCCUUCGGGUUGUAAAGCCCUUUUGUUGGGAAAGAAAAGCAGCAGGUUAAUACCCCGCUGUUCUGACGGUACCCAAAGAAUAAGCACCGGCUAACUUCGUG
rnacentral:rRNA from 1 species